rnacentral:rRNA from 1 species
UACGUAGGGGGCUAGCGUUGUCCGGAUUUAUUGGGCGUAAAGAGCGUGUAGGCGGCCGUGUAGGUCCGGUGUGAAAACUCGAGGCUUAACCUCGAGAUGUCAUCGGAAACCAUUUGGCUAGAGUCCGGGAAGAGGAGAGUGGAAUUCCGUGGUGUAGCGGUGAAAUGCGCAGAUAUCGGGGAAGAACACCCGUGGCGGAAGGCGGCUCUCUGGGACGGUACUGACGCUGAGACGCGAAAGCGUGGGGAGCGAACAGG